CCAGACUCCUACGGGAGGCAGCAGUGAGGAAUAUUGGUCAAUGGGAGAGAUCCUGAACCAGCCAAGCCGCGUGAGGGAAGACGGCCCUAUGGGUUGUAAACCUCUUUUGUCGGAGAACAAAACCUGGGACGUGUCCCGGACUGCGUGUAUCCGAAGAAAAAGCAUCGGCUAACUCCGUGCCAGCAGCCGCGGUAAUACGGAGGAUGCGAGCGUUAUCCGGAUUUAUUGGGUUUAAAGGGUGCGUAGGCGGUCCGUUAAGUCAGCGGUAAAAUUGCGGGGCUCAACCCCGUCGAGCCGUUGAAACUGGCUUGCUAGAGUGGGCGAGAAGUAUGCGGAAUGCGUGGUGUAGCGGUGAAAUGCAUAGAUAUCACGCAGAACUCCGAUUGCGAAGGCAGCAUACCGGCGCCCAACUGACGCUCAGGCACGAAAGCGUGGGUAUCGAACAGGAUUAGAUACCCCGGUA
rnacentral:rRNA from 1 species